rnacentral:rRNA from 1 species
AGUGAACGCUGGCGGUAGGCCUAACACAUGCAAGUCGAACGGCAGCGCAGGAGAGCUUGCUCUCCGGGUGGCGAGUGGCGGACGGGUGAGGAAUACAUCGGAAUCUACUUUUUCGUGGGGGAUAACGUAGGGAAACUUACGCUAAUACCGCAUACGACCUACGGGUGAAAGCAGGGGACCUUCGGGCCUUGCGCGAUUGAAUGAGCCGAUGUCGGAUUAGCUAGUUGGCGGGGUAAAGGCCCACCAAGGCGACGAUCCGUAGCUGGUCUGAGAGGAUGAUCAGCCACACUGGAACUGAGACACGGUCCAGACUCCUACGGGAGGCAGCAGUGGGGAAUAUUGGACAAUGGGCGCAAGCCUGAUCCAGCCAUACCGCGUGGGUGAAGAAGGCCUUCGGGUUGUAAAGCCCUUUUGUUGGGAAAGAAAUCCAGCUGGCUAAUACCCGGUUGGGGUGACGGUACCCAAAGAAUAAGCACCGGCUAACUUCGUGCCAGCCGCCGCGGUAA